UCCCAAACUCGGAAGUAACAAUAUUUUCUCCAUUCAGUUACUCUAUCUCACCGUCACCACACUCGCACGUCUUUUAAUUACAUGCAUUGAUUCUUCUUCACCAAGUUAUUCCUUUCUCACAUCUUCUUCUUUUGUUCAUUUCGUUUAAUUGAUCCUUCCUCCAUAUAAUAAAUUGAUGCGACCCUGUCUUUUCAUUCCUAUAUAAAUCUCCAUAUCUUCAAAUUGCCAUUCUCUUUUGGAUUUGAUACUCUGUUUUUUUCUUCUUUAGUAUCCAUUCUUAUGCUUUUACGUUGCGUUCUCUGAAUUCGUCAAUUAGUCCUUUCCGCUCGGUCUAUUUCAGCUUCUGUUUUCUUCCCAUUUGGAUUUCUGGGUGGGUGGUUUUUGUUCCAAUUUUUCUUUUUUAUUUCUCUCGUUUUCUUUUUCUAGAAUUUUAUGGAAUUUCUUUCGAAAUAUUCCUAAACCUGUGUAUUUAGUCUGUUUUGUCUUGGCGGUUAUAUUGUACAAAUUGCUCUUGCAUUUCUCUUACUGUGCGGUUGCGAUUUCACGCUCUUUCGCUGAUAUGGAGAAUAUCAACGGAGAUCAAGACCAAUGUCGGCUAGCGCUCUCUCCAAUUGGAAACAUGAAUUCUUCUCCACAUGGGUUUCAGACUUCGACCUCUAACUCUUUGUCUGAACAAGAAUCCGACGAGCAGUUUGGGCAAACGAGUGUGGAAGAUUCGGAGUCUGACACCAUUACUGAUCAAGAAGCAUCGGUUUCUGAUUGCGAAAGCAGUGUCUCCGGUUCCCCUACUGAGCAUUUCCCGGUGUUCGACGACUUGGUUAGGCUGGCUGAAGGAGAUAGAGUAUACGACCUCGUCAAACGGAGAUUCGUGUUGGGUUUCGCUUCGCUUGGUGUGCAAGCAAAGGUAGUCGGUAUUCAUAGAAAUGAUUUUGGCGGUCUGAUGGGACAAGCGAGGUUGAAUACGUUCCGGAUUUAUGGCCAGGCAAUGGAGAAGAAAUGCGGUGGCAAUGCCAAUAUCAGGUAUGCUUGGUAUGGUGCUUCCAAGGAUGACAUAGUUAAGAUUGCUUCACAUGGUUUUGGUCAUUGUGGGAUAUCUCAGAACAAUGGAUUGUUUGGCGGCGGCGUUUAUCUUUCACCGGAUUAUUCACCUUUGGAAAGUGCGUGCAACUCGGUAGUCGACAAGGACGGUCUGCGACAUCUUCUCCUGAGUCGUGUUAUAUUGGGGAAGGCAGAGCUUGUGCAGAUCGGUUCCGAGCAGUGUCACCCAAGUUCCGAAGAAUUCGAUUCAGCCGUGGAUAAUCUUUCAGCUCCCAGGAAAUAUAUUGUGUGGAGUACCCACAUGAAUACUCAUAUUUUGCCUGAGUUUGUAAUAAGUUUCAGAGCUCCAUCUUGCUUGGCAGAGUUUGCAAGGAUUCCAAAACCAUCGAGUGUUCCCACUUCACCUUGGGUUCCAUUUCCAGUUCUAAUUUCUGUGCUUUCGAAGUUCUUACCACCUCACACCGUCUCGGUGAUCAGCAAAUAUCAUGAAGCUCACAAAGAAAAGAAGAUAUCACGAAAUCAACUGGUACUAAAACUCAGACAAAUAGCAGGAGAUAAGUUGUUGAUUGCUAUUAUCAAGUCAUUCAAAUCCAAGCAACUCAAGACACCAACCAGCCUUGCAUAAAAGGUGGCUCUGAUGAAGUGAGGGUUCGAAUGGGUUCUGUAAUAUAAGUGCAGGAAUUACAAAUGGAUUGCUUUUGUUUGGAGGAUAAGAAGUGCAGUUGUCAGUUGCUGUCAAGAACAUGAACGAAACAAAAGCAGAUACUUUUGAUCAGCUACUUCUAAGGGAAGCAGAUGAUGAGGGAUGCAGUAGAUAUUUGAGCGGCUAAGUGGGAUUUCAUACUUUAGAUGUUUUGAGUUCUACAUAUGGUGUCCUUUCAGUUGUAAUCGCAUGGUGUAUUAUCAACUGUGGUUGAUAAAGAAACAUUUCAGGAUGCAAUUUUGAGCAAAACACAGGAGGUGGGGACCUGAGGCUGAGGUUGCGAUCUCUUUGGCCCAGAUUCUGAAAUUCUGGUCACCUUCUUAAACGCACCUACCUUGUAACCCUGUGACCACGUUGUCAUAUGCUCUGCCUCUUUUAUGAACACAUGUUGAUGUUGUGCUGAUCCAUAAUUAUGCAAAGGUCAUCCAUCAUCUUUGUUGCAUAUUUGAAGGAUAUGAGCUUUAAAGCCAGGAAAUUAAAUUGUCGUACAAGAAAAUUACAUGUGAAUGAUACAACUUGACAUAUCAACUUUGAGAUCAAAGAAACAAUGCAUUCGGCUUUGA